UAACCGUAGGUGAACCUGCGGUUGGAUCAUUAACAAUUUGGUUCCAUACCAAACACUGUGUGCAUAGGAUUUGUCUCUGGCGGUGGUGCUUUGUCUUAAACAUGUCGCAUCCAAUAGAUGGGACCUCUGGCCAUCGCCAAACACUAUUUCUUGGGAUGUCCUUUACGGGGUAUCCUGCGGGAUAGUUGAUAAACAUAAUGUAUAUUUGUCUGACUUUUGUUUUUCUAAUUUGAAAACAACUUUUGACAACGGAUCUCUUGGCUCUCGCAUCGAUGAAGAACGCAGC
rnacentral:misc_RNA from 1 species